GCAUCUGCAGAGCAAGCCAAAGGAAUUUAUUUUACAAAUCAAAAAUACCUCAUUUCAGCAGGGUUUAAAUGUCUUAUUCACGAGAAUAACUGGGUUUGGUUUACAAGAUGAAAUAUUCAGGUUUUGACGGCUAGAAAUGUUGUACGCAAAAAAUCAGAUUUACUUUAGAAAAAAUUAGGUACUCAUAGAAAACUCAUAACAGAUCAGUAGUCAUAAGCGAUAUUAUUUUAGACUGGUAUAUUGUGAAAAUUCUAAGCUUGAUAUCAGCAAAUGUUGCAAUGGAACCUUGCACUCAAUCAACAAAAGAAAUAAACUUAAGGUUAAAGAGGAUCCGGAGUCACUUUGGCGUUUACAAGAAAUAAUACGAGGAACUGACAGCUGAAUUUCAGUACUAUCGCCAUUUGAAAGAAAAGAAAUGUCCUAGUGUGCAUGUUAUUUGGAUAAAACUGCUCCAAAAGUAUAAUCAUUAACACAGGCAUGAAUCAGCUGACCGAAUACCUGCAGGCUCAUGGAGAGAACGCUAGCUAUUUGCAAAUUAGGUAUGAAUGAUUUUGUAUAAGAUAAAAAUACAAAAUCUAGAUAAAGAUGUUACGGUAUAUAUGUGAUAUAUUUUUUAUUCAAAGUGUCUUGUCGACCGGUCGGACCUUUCGGUCGGUACACACACCUCUCUCACUGCAAAAACUGCCUUGCUUCCUUUCUUGGCCGGAGUCAAACAGGUUUGAAUGUUUUAUUUUAUUAUUUCUGAUUAAUAAAAUGAAUUGAAUUUCAACUUACCACUCGCUUUGCCGCUCGCCGUCUGUUUGAUUUAGAAUUCUUUCUUUUCUUACUGGCGAAACCAGGUUAUAAAUACCUCAUGUUCUCUAGCAAA